AAGUCAUGUUGAGGGCAAUUUCGUAACAUUCCCUUGUAGUUCUCCCACGCUUCGUAACAUGACUCCCUAUCAUUUUGUUAAAAAUUUGCGAUGUUUUUCUUUAAUUU